rnacentral:lncRNA from 1 species
UCUCCCUCCCCCAAAGCCCCCUCCUCUGUUUUCACCCACACCAGCCCCUCCAUUUCUACUCCCUCUCCCCAGCCCUUGCUCCCUCACCUCCUAGUUUCUGAAUCGAAAUCACCUUGGCCUCCAGACGGGAAGCUACCUGGAGGCCCUUGGUGCCUUCCUGGGCAAUCCAAUCAGAGGUCAUUCUAGGAGCAGGAACCCUCAAGGAAGGCUCCUCAGAAAGGUGCUCUGACUGGCUGUGAGGUCUGCCAAGCAAGGGCCCUGGUGCUGCACAUGUCGCUGAGACCCAACAGCCAUAUACAGAAAUAGUAAUUGGCAAACGUUGACCUAUCUGUUAACAUAGACCUCGGCCAUCUGUGACAAGGACAAGGCAGAGAAACCCGUCCUAAGAGUGUCUGUGUUGACUCUGCGAAGACUCCAACCUGGGAGUCAGGCAAAUGCUCCUUCUGUCUGCUGUGCCCAGGGCCUGGCUUGCUGCUCUGCUCUGCCCUCUCCGAAAGGACCUCCUGUGUGAUCUGGACCCUAGAAUACGGUGCCUAGGAUGAGAGAUGUGUGAAGGAGGAGAGCAAGGAAAGAGAAAAGAAAAGGAACAAUGAGAGAGACUAGAGAAUCAGGUCCCUUGUGAACUCAGGAACAAGGAUAACAGAAAAAAUGGUCAUUUAUACAUUUUAAUCAGGAGUUCAAAUCUUUCGGCUGAAAGUAAUAGAAACACAACUGUAAUUAGCUUGAGCCUCAAAGGGGACAAUGUUGGCUCACAGAAGCUGACCAUGGGGACAGCAGAGAGGGAACAACUGGGUUCAGGGAGUGGAUACCCUGGGGACUCAUCCUCUCCUCUUGGCUGUUAGUUCCCCCACAGCUCUCAGGGCUGUGCCAGAGGAGGGAGCUCUGCCCGCCAGCUCCAGGUAGAAGGUUCUGGCAAACAGCGACACCAUUUUUCCGUUGUCUGGUUUCAGAAAUGUUAAACCUUGAUACUCUCAACCAUUGGUGAAGGAAUGGGAAAACAGAGACCCUAAUGCUCUAAUAUACUGCUGGAGGGGGUACAAAUGGUCCCAACCACUUUGGGGAGAAAUUUGACUACCUAUUAUGAUUUUAAAUGUGGGUACUAUUGAUUUGAUGAUGCCACUUCUCAAAAUCCAGACCAGUAACUCUCACACAUGUGCAUAAGGAAAUAUAGGCAAGGAUGUUAUUUGAGGUGUUAUUUGUAGCACAAAAUUAGAAAUAACUAAUGUCCAUUUUUAUGGUAUAUUUCACACUCUGAAAAUAUGGAAACUGUUAAAAAGAAUGAAAUGUCUACUGACAUAAACCCCGAAGCUGUCUUGAUAAAUGAAAAAAAUAAUUUGCAGAAUGAUACAUACAAUAUGGUAUCACUCAAGCGUAAAUGAAAACAAAAACAAAAGCUUGAAAUAAUAAUAGAUAUGUCUACAUGUAUGUUUAUAACGUAUAUUUCUAAAUGUCUCCAAAUGCGUAGAAGACGGUCUGGUGAGGGACUGAGAUUAGGAGUGAGGAUUGAAGGAGACUGUCAGGUGUGAAUUUUUUCGGUGAUGACAUAUUUAUGUAUAGUUUCUGUAUUUAGAAUUAGAAUUUAAAAGGAAAAAGCUAUGGAAGCAUUCUGAUUGGUUCAACUUGGGUCACGUGACUGUUCCUAGCCCAAUCCAUGUGGCCAAGGGGCCUCUAGGGUUCUAUGACUGGCGCCAUCUGGGUUACCCACUCACCCCUGUGAACACUGGAGCAAUACCCAUGAUCGGCAGCUCCUACUAUCAUUACGUGUUAUAGUGGGGAGGGAGCAAUUACCCCAAAGAAGGGAGGUGCUGUGCUGGGGCAGACAAAAUGGUAAAUCUCCUCUAUAGUGAAAGCAUUUGGGC